rnacentral:miRNA from 1 species
GGCCAGGUUGACCGGAAGGGUUUCCUUCUGGUCAAUGAGGUAGAUGUACCUCAUCAAUCGGAAGGGUUUCCUUCCGGUCGAUGAGGUACAUGUACCUCGUUGACCGGAAGGAAACCCUUCCGAUCAGCAAGGUA